ACAAGAUGUUGUUAACCUGCUUCCAACUCUUAAUCAAUGCCAUCCAUACAGUAGAUUCCGAUGGGUUGCUUUUCAAAUCUGAGCCUUCAAUGUUUGUUUGACAGAGCAUAGAAAAGUUGCUAGAGAUAACAGAUGCAGCCAUGGAGAGGAACAUGAAGAGAUUUAUGUUUUCUGAUGUAUUUUAUUUAAAAUUGUAUACAAUGUGUACAAUUCAUUGUAUAAAUUAUAAAUACGUGGUUGUAGGUGUUUGAAAUGUUUUUUUUUUUUAAUUUAUUCUCCAAAUUAAGCCACUGAUGUUGGUGGCAUUGAAAAAACACACUGAUUCUGUAACAGUGGGAAAGAGAAAGGUGUAUUGCUGCAUUGGGUUUUGGUAUGCCACUGAUGUUUUAUCAGUGUGGAUUGCCCCAAUAGCACCUACAAUAGAGGGCACUGAUUCUUCAUUAGUGGCUGCAUAGUGGCUAAUUGCAUUAGCCAAUUUUAUCAGUGUGUAUUGGGACAAAAGGGACUAAUUCCUAUUGGUGUGUAAUGGG